UACGUAGGGGGCAAGCGUUAUCCGGAUUUACUGGGUGUAAAGGGAGCGUAGACGGAAAGGCAAGUCAGAAGUGAAAGCCCAAGGCUCAACCAUGGGACUGCUUUUGAAACUGUCAAACUAGAGUACGGGAGAGGUAAGAGGAAUUCCUAGUGUAGCGGUGAAAUGCGUAGAUAUUAGGAGGAACACCAGUGGCGAAGGCGUCUUACUGGACCGAAACUGACGUUGAGGCUCGAAAGCGUGGGGAGCAAACA
rnacentral:rRNA from 1 species